UGUCACAGCGCUCAGGGUGCACGAA
rnacentral:sRNA from 1 species